rnacentral:rRNA from 1 species
UACGUAGGGGGCGAGCGUUGUCCGGAGUUACUGGGCGUAAAGCGCUUGUAGGCGGUCCACCAAGUUUGGGGUGACAGUUGCCGACUUAAUCGGCAAAGUGCCUCAAAGACUGGCGGACUUGAGGGCCACAGAGGGACAUGGAACUCCAGGUGUAGUGGUGAAAUGCGUAGAUAUUUGGAAGAACACCAAAGGCGAAGGCAGUGUCCUGGGUGGUCGCUGACGCUGAGAGGCGAAAGCCAGGGGAGCGAACGGG